rnacentral:rRNA from 1 species
AUCUGACGGUACUUGAUGAAUAAGCCACGGCUAAUUCCGUGCCAGCAGCCGCGGUAAUACGGGAGUGGCAAGCGUUAUCCGGAAUUAUUGGGCGUAAAGCGUCCGCAGGCGGCCCUUCAAGUCUGCUGUUAAAAAGUGGAGCUUAACUCCAUCAUGGCAGUGGAAACUGUUGGGCUUGAGUGUGGUAGGGGCAGAGGGAAUUCCCGGUGUAGCGGUGAAAUGCGUAGAUAUCGGGAAGAACACCAGUGGCGAAGGCGCUCUGCUGGGCCAUCACUGACGCUCAUGGACGAAAGCCAGGGGAGCGAAAGGGAUUAGAUACCCCUGUAGUCCUGGCCGUAAACGAUGAACACUAGGUGUCGGGGGAAUCGACCCCCUCGGUGUCGUAGCCAACGCGUUAAGUGUUCCGCCUGGGGAGUACGCACGCAAGUGUGAAACUCAAAUGAAUUGACGG